CAGCCGCCACGGGAAUACGUAGGUGGCAAGCGUUGUCCGGAAUUAUUGGGCGUAAAGGGCUCGCAGGCGGUUUCUUAAGUCUGAUGUGAAAGCCCCCGGCUCAACCGGGGAGGGUCAUUGGAAACUGGGAAACUUGAGUGCAGAAGAGGAGAGUGGAAUUCCACGUGUAGCGGUGAAAUGCGUAGAGAUGUGGGGGAACACCAGUGGCGAAGGCGACUCUCUGGUCUGUAACUGACGCUGAGGAGCGAAAGCGUGGGGAGCGAACAGGAUUAGAUACCCCCGUAGUCCCUGUCUCUUAUAC
rnacentral:rRNA from 1 species